AUGGACUGGGUGGAACAAUUUAACAUUUCUGACCUGAAAGGACCAAAGGAUCUGCCAACAUCUGGUCCACUGAGUUUCACCAGCAGACAGCUCCCUCGAGAUUACUACGAUUUUAAAUCAAUGAAGAUAAAGCUUAUCUGCAACUUCGGCGGCACUUUCUUACCAAGGCCAAGCGACGGCGAGCUCCGGUACAUCGGUGGUGACAGGCAUCUGAUGAAAGUUAGCCGGGACAUUUCUUGGCAAGAGUUGGUCAGCAAGACAACAAGGCUAAUAAGGAGAGCCCACACGAUAAAGUACCACCUCCCGGGGGAGCAACUGAGCAUGCUCAUCUCCAUCACCUCCGAUGAUGACCUCCGGCAUAUGAUUGAUGAGUGCAUUGUGCUAGAGGAAAACAGAGAAAUGAUCAACAUGUACCUCUUCUCUCGCAAGGACGAUGAGCGCCACGUGCGUUUCGUGGUACAAGGCUCAUCAGAUGCCGAGAAAGAGGCGCAGUUCAUCGCUCUUGUCAAUGGGAUCAUCACCACACCAGGUUAUGAGCCGAGAGCACACAGCGUCGGUAGAUCCUCAGCCAAUGACCUGGACCAGCUGAUGUUUGGCAUCAGUGUGGAAGCAGGGCCGCCGGCAGGCAGAACAGAGGAAGCUUCAGUGCUCAUCAAAAGCAAGCCCUUGCAGAGCAUCGCGGUACCGCCAGUGACGGCAAGUGGUCAGCUGGAGAGGACGCCCCCAAGUACCCAGAGACGGAUGAUCAACCAGUGUUAUAAGGCACAAGGUAACGAAGAGAUCAUGAUCUCUGCAGCCAGAAAGACUAGUAAAGCUUCCCCUGGUGCAUCUGCGCCUUCUGAAUCCACGGUGCAGCAUCAACAGACUGCCACAGACACUUACAGAACUACUGGGGCACAGGAAAAAAUAUCACCAAGGAAACAGCUUCAGAUACCAUUGGACAACAGUAGUGUGACGACGCAGCCAUCGAAUUCACUAAGGAGGAACACUAAUUUCCAACCGCACAACAGGGUGGAGAUAUCUGAACCUAGUCAUGAAUCCACUAGUCCUGGCGGCGGCAACAUCAGUGCAAACUUGCAGUAUCCCGAGAGGUCGGCUGCAACCAACAGCAUCCAGAAGAACCAGCCUGCAGGUCCUGCAACAUCGCUGCUUCCUUUUGCUUCUACACCUUUAGACAAAAGAAUAAACCUGCAACCAAAUACUCUUGUGCGUGCUUCAAGUGAUACAAUACAAGAACGACCCAGCAGUCCAACAACAGAUGAGCAUGCAUCAGAAAUCACUCGAUUUCGCUCGGUUGGCACUGGCAUCAUUAAUCCUCAAAUCAGAGCUCCAUUGCAUGAAGCUGAAGAUAAUGCUGCACCAUCAAUCCCAGAGGCUGAGCUACGCGAAACCAAGAGCAGUGAAAAAUCUCUGCCUGCAAAUGCAGUGUUGGGCAGAGAUCUUAUGAGUAAUGUCCAGGACAUCUUCCUAAAGUUGAUGUCAUACAAAUGGCAGAUAAUAAGCAACGAUGACCUCGAAGAUCUUCGUGAGAUGGGCGCCGGAGCAUUUGGAACUGUUUUUCAUGGAAAAUGGAGGGGAACAGAUGUUGCCAUUAAACGGAUAAAUAACAGUUGUUUUUCAUACCAAUCAUCCCAGGCAGAUAAACUGAUAACAGAAUUUUGGAGGGAGGCCGCUAUCAUCUCAAAACUUCACCAUCCAAAUAUUCUGGCACUUUACGGGGUUGUGAAUAAUGGGCCAGGGGGGACAUUAGCUACUGUAACUGAAUUCAUGGUCAAUGGAUCUCUAAAGAAAGUACUCAGUCGCAAGGACAAAUAUCUCGAUUGGCGCAAGAGGGUACUUGUUGCAAUGGAUGCCGCCAUUGGAAUGGAAUAUCUGCACUCCAAGGACAUUGUCCAUUUUGAUCUGAAAUGCGAUAACUUGCUAGUGAAUGUUAAGGAUCCCUCUCGUCCCAUAUGCAAGGUUGCUGAUUUUGGUUUAUCAAAGAUGAAACAAGCCACCAUGGUUUCUGGUGGAAUGAGAGGAACUCUUCCAUGGAUGGCCCCAGAAUUGUUGACAAUGAGCGGCACCAAAGUAUCUGAAAAGGUCGAUGUCUAUUCUUUUGGUGUUGUGAUGUGGGAAAUUCUCACUGGUGAGGAUCCAUAUGAUGGCAUGCACUAUGGAGGAGUUAUAGGGGGCAUUUUGAGUGACACACUGAGGCCGCCAGUGCCCACUUCAUGUAACCCGGAAUGGAGGAAACUCAUGGAGCAAUGCUGGUUAACUGAGCCUGAGCGAAGACCUUCGUUCACUGAAGUCGCAACUUGUCUUCGUUGUAUGCUGCAAGCGCAAAAAUGA
rnacentral:rRNA from 1 species